GACAUUAGAGAACGCUUCAAAUGCAUUACAAACGAAAGCACGAAUUGUGGAAGUGCAACUAAAAUGUUGGAAGCUGCGUUUGCCAAAAAGAGCUACAUAGAUUUGGAAGCCGAGAAAGAGAACUGAUAAUUAAGCUGGAAAACCAAACCAAACCAUGAUCGUAGGGAGCCGAGGACUUGGAUAAAUAUUUCAAUUUGUGGAACGUAGAUAUGUUAACCUUAGACCACCUCCAUCGAGGGGUGCUUAGAGGGUUCUUAACCCAAAAGUGAAAAAAAAAUUAAAUAAAAAAGGACCAAAAAUAGAAGAACCGGUGCUUGUUUUGGGCUUUCUGGAGUUGGUAAGAAGCGCAUACGUGUCCGUCUCUGAUUGCACUGUCCCUGUAUUGUCUCUCUCUCUUCGUCAGGGUUUCGACCAAAGCAAAACAAAGUCUCUUCUCUCUCGGACAAUCUGUCGUCUCUGUCGGUCCAUCUUCAUGUGCGCGAUUGCGUCCUUCUCUGAUAACUUCAGUAACCAAACUCCCUUUGCUCAGAUCCAGAUAUUGAACAUCAAUUGGUUUCAGAAGCAACCCCAUGGAAAUGAUGAGAUAAGCUCUCAUGGCUACAUCAAAUGAAAGUUUGGCUUUUGAUGGUUGAGUUGAUUAAGAUACAUAAUGGUUAUGACUUUGUACUUUCGGUAUGAAACUUUAGUGAGAGCCAUAUGUCUUUCUUGAACUCGAUGGCCGUUGGGGGUUUAUAUGCGACUGUUUGUUUGAACAUUGUAGUAGAGCAUAAUGAUUUUACAAUAGCCUAGCUCUCUUGAAAGUCAUAUUGAACUCAAAAUUGUCCAAGUUGUUGAAUUUACACCAGGAAUGUGAUAUUAGUUUAUAA